CGAGUAAUGUCUGGGAAACUGCCUGAUGGAGGGGGAUAACUACUGGAAACGGUAGCUAAUACCGCAUAACGUCUUCGGACCAAAGUGGGGGACCUUCGGGCCUCAUGCCAUCAGAUGUGCCCAGAUGGGAUUAGCUAGUAGGUGGGGUAACGGCUCACCUAGGCGACGAUCCCUAGCUGGUCUGAGAGGAUGACCAGCCACACUGGAACUGAGACACGGUCCAGACUCCUACGGGAGGCAGCAGUGGGGAAUAUUGCACAAUGGGCGCAAGCCUGAUGCAGCCAUGCCGCGUGUAUGAAGAAGGCCUUCGGGUUGUAAAGUACUUUCAGCGAGGAGGAAGGCGUUAAGGUUAAUAACCUUAGCGAUUGACGUUACUCGCAGAAGAAGCACCGGCUAACUCCGUGCCAGCAGCCGCGGUAAUACGGAGGGUGCAAGCGUUAAUCGGAAUUACUGGGCGUAAAGCGCACGCAGGCGGUCUGUCAAGUCGGAUGUGAAAUCCCCGGG
rnacentral:rRNA from 1 species